rnacentral:sRNA from 1 species
UGAUAGAUGCGGUAGAUGUAAAUAAACAGUGGAACGGCUGUAAAAGAGCCUUUCCACUGGGUAAAAUCAAACUGUGCCGCGGAACCCGCUCCUCAGCUAGUCACACUUCGGAGACGCGGGCAACGCAGGUAUUAUCGUCUAAAGGGCCGGCUGCAACCGGCCC